rnacentral:rRNA from 1 species
GACGAACGCUGGCGGCGUGCUUAACACAUGCCAGUCGAACGGAAAGGCCCUGCUUUUGUGGGGUGCUCGAGUGGCGAACGGGUGAGUAACACGUGAGUAACCUGCCCUUGACUUUGGGAUAACUUCAGGAAACUGGGGCUAAUACCGGAUAGGAGCUCCUGCUGCAUGGUGGGGGUUGGAAAGUUUCGGCGGUUUGGGAUGGACUCGCGGCUUAUCAGCUUGUUGGUGGGGUAGUGGCUUACCAAGGCUUUGACGGGUAGCCGGCCUGAGAGGGUGACCGGCCACAUUGGGACUGAGAUACGGCCCAGACGCCUACGGGAGGCAGCAGGGGGGAAUAUUGCACAAUGGGCGGAAGCCUGAUGCAGCAACGCCGCGUGCGGGAUGACGGCCUUCGGGUGGUAAACCGCUUUCGCCUGUGACGAAGCGUGAGUGACGGUAAUGGGUAAAGAAGCACCGGCUAACUACGUG